rnacentral:SRP_RNA from 1 species
AAUAAUAAACGGUACAACAAACAUAUUUGAACCUGGUCAGGACCGGAAGGUAGCAGCCAUAAGAAUCCCUGUUUGUGUGUACCCUUUUUAUUUUCUUGA